rnacentral:rRNA from 1 species
AGUGAACGCUGGCGGCGUGCCUAAUACAUGCAAGUCGAACGAAGUGGCGCACGGGUGAGUAAUCUAUAGUUUAUCACCCCUACAAAGAGGACCACAAGGUGGAAACGACUGCUAAUACCUCAUAGUGUAGGAUGAGACUAUAUCGUAUCAGAUAGUUGGUAAGGUAAGGGCUUACCAAGGCUAUGACGCGUAACUGGUAUACGAGGAUGAUCAGUCAAAUUGGACGGGAGACACGGUCCAGUCUCCUACGGGAGUCAACAGAAAGCAGUACUGCCCAAUGGGGGUAACGCUAGCAGAGCAACGGAGCGUGGAGGAUUACUCUUAUCGGAGAGUAAACACCUUUGAACAGGAAAGCGGUAUCUGAUGAGUAAGCCACGGCUAACUCCGUGCCAGCAGCCGCGGUAAUUC